AUUGAACGCUGGCGGAAUGCUUUACACAUGCAAGUCGAACGGCAGCACGGACUUCGGUCUGGUGGCGAGUGGCGAACGGGUGAGUAACAUAUCGGAACGUAUCCAAUAAUGGGGGAUAACUAAUCGAAAGGUUGGCUAAUACCGCAUACGCCCUACGGGGGAAAGCAGGGGAUCUUCGGACCUUGCGUUAAUGGAGCGGCUGAUAUCUGAUUAGCUAGUUGGUGAGGUAAAGGCUCACCAAGGCGACGAUCAGUAGCUGGUCUGAGAGGACGACCAGCCACACUGGAACUGAGACACGGUCCAGACUCCUACGGGAGGCAGCAGUGGGGAAUUUUGGACAAUGGGCGCAAGCCUGAUCCAGCCAUUCCGCGUGAGUGAAGAAGGCCUUCGGGUUGUAAAGCUCUUUCGCAAGGGAAGAAAACUUACUUUCUAAUAAAGAGUGAGGUUGACGGUACCUUGAUAAGAAGCACCGGCUAACUACGUGCCAGCCGCCGCCGUAA
rnacentral:rRNA from 1 species